AUGAUACUGUAUCAGACAGGGCCUCAACAAGAUGACACAUUCAAAACCAGACGAUUUGCAUAAGGUUUAUUUAGGAAGGUGUGGGUGGGCGUGGAAGAACUGCACAUCAUAGUGUCACACUGGGGCUAAUCCCAGCAGAGCCCUGACCACUCCUAGGCCCAAAGGGACAAGGGGAGGACUCGGCUACCAGAACCUGGAAAGAAUGAAUCAUGUAGAACAGGUCACCCAGAGAGGAGCAGUGACAUCAGAGUGACAUCAGUGACAGAGGCGACAUCAGAGGAAGGAGCCAAGAAUUAAUCUCAUCCUUCUUCUCCCCUUGAUUCAACUAGAGAACAAGGAUAGAAGUUGGUGUCAUCUAUACAUGUCAGUCUCUGCAGGGGGCAGAAGGGUGGCCAGCGGAUCCACAGGAGGGACCAAACAGAAGACAACUGCCACAUGUACUGUUUACAAGAACUGCACCAAAAUGAAAGCAACACAGACAACUCCAGAGAAAGGAAUGGGGAGAGACAAUUAACUGCAACAGGAUAUUGAUAGGCCCUUUCCUGUUAUCCAGAAAUUGUGGAAUUUGUGAGACCCAAAGCUGGGAGGGGGUAGAGACCAAAUGUCCUCCCACAAGACAGCCACCUGGAAGCAAUGCUGCCAGAAUAUCCCUGCAGGGCUUACUAAUGGGCACCCCAAUCACUACAGCUCUCCCCAGUCUACAUGAGAGAGAACUGGGGUAGGAGGAGGAAAGGUGAGUUUUAGACCUUGAGGAAUACCAUAUAAGCAGUGCGGGGCACUUGAAGAGACACAGAGGUUGCAAGGGCCUGCAAGAAGUGACUUGCAUCUAUCUCCUUGGCUGGAUGCUUGCUGAGUUGCAGCCUAUAUGGGAUCUAACUGGGUGAUGCCACCAAAGCAAUGCAUAGUCAGAGUCCUGGGAGAGUACUGUGGUCUCCUGAAGUGAAGAGCCUGACGGAAAGUGGACACUGUGGCUACCGCUGGCCUAGAGAAUCUUGAAGGUGGAGGCCACUGAAUGACUCACGCCAGCAGAGCUCGAAGCAACAGCGUGAUAUUGGAAGUACACUUGUGAGCAGCUGUCUUGUGUCAGCUUUCAUUUUAUCACUACACAGAACAUCUUCUGGAAACAUCAGAAUGAGCUGACCAAGCCUCUGACGUUACCGUCCAGCGGAAGCCAAAACCCGUGAUUUAUGUGUGUGAUUUAGACUGUAGAUUCUCAAGAUGAUUGGUACCCCUCAGCAACUGCAAAAAUAAAGAAAUCUGUCUCAUUUUGCUCUGUAUGUGUGGUGCGGUUUUGUUUCUUUUAAUUU
rnacentral:lncRNA from 1 species